GAUGAACGCUGGCGGCGUGCUUAACACAUGCAAGUCGAACGGAAAGGCCCAAGCUUGCUUGGGUACUCGAGUGGCGAACGGGUGAGUAACACGUGGGUGAUCUGCCCUGCACUUCGGGAUAAGCCUGGGAAACUGGGUCUAAUACUGGAUAGGACCACUUCUUGGAUGUUGUGGUGGAAAGUUUUUUCGGUGUGGGAUGAGCUCGCGGCCUAUCAGCUUGUUGGUGGGGUAAUGGCCUACCAAGGCGUCGACGGGUAGCCGGCCUGGGGGGGUGUACGGCGACAUUGGGACUGAGAUACGGCCCAGACUCCUACGGGAGGCAGCAGUGGGGAAUAUUGCACAAUGGGCGCAAGCCUGAUGCAGAGACGCCGCGUGGGGGAUGACGGCCUUCGGGUUGUAAACUCCUUUCGCUAGGGACGAAGCGUUUUGUGACGGUACCUGGAGAAGAAGCACCGGCUAACUACGUG
rnacentral:rRNA from 1 species